rnacentral:rRNA from 1 species
GACGAACCGUGCGAACGUUGUUCGGAUUCACUGGGCUUAAAGGGCGCGUAGGCGGGCACGCCAGUCGGGAGUGAAAGCCCCCGGCCCAACCGGGGAAGGGCUCCCGAUACUGCGUGCCUCGAGGGGGGUAGGGGUCGACGGAACUUCCGGUGGAGCGGUGAAAUGCGUAGAUAUCGGAAGGAACGCCGGUGGCGAAAGCGGUCGACUGGACCCCUUCUGACGCUGAGGCGCGAAAGCCAGGGGAGCAAACGGG